GUUGUUGUUGUUGAUGAGCAAGACCUCGACAAAGCGGAAGGCCAGGGCAGCGGGAGCCAGCAGGCGCGGGGCCUCCGAGGGCUCGGCCGACAGGCACAGCUGCACGAAGUUCUUGUCGAAGUGCAGGAAGCGUCUCACUUGAACCAGGACCUCAGAGACCUUGGCUUGGCUUUUACUGAUGCCCUGCUGGCCAGAGCUGAUGCCAGAAUGGUCGAGAACAACCACCAGUGGCCCAUUCUGGAGGCAGCCCUCAGUGGGGCAGCUCAGGAGAGAAGAGUGGAUCACGGAGGGGCACAACCCCAGCCUAGCCUGCCUGGCCUCAGCCCUGCCUCCCACUGGGCCAGCCACCGCUAUGCUUCGUUGCUCUUUAAACAGAUGAGAAAAUGUUCUUCUUCCCUUCCCAAUGAUUUAUUUGGCCCGAAGCCUGGGCAGGUUUCCUUACAGCCAGGAAGGCCUAAGAACACCCCUCCCUCAGCCCCUGCCGGCCACUGCCAAUCAGCCAGGUAGCCAUGGCAGCCCAAAGCUGCAGGCACCAAGAUCUCCUUCCAGUCCCUCAGCCCUACCCCAGAGCACUAUCAGGAGCUCAUACUGUCUCCCAAAGACAUCCAAAUCCACAUGACAGUCUUCUACCAGGGGCUGCCCAAGGCUCUUAUGACAAAUACCUCACUGCUCUGGAUGUCUCAGAUCCUGGAACGGUACCGGGGAAAGGGUGGACAAGCCCUCUGCCUGUGGAAAGUCCUGCACAUCUAGCCUCUAUCCUUCCUGCUACAGAUGCCAAAGGGGUUCAGAGCAGGGGCAAAAGCUGGGUGUUUGUUGUUUUCUUGGUGCUGUAGAUUAGGGGGCAAAGGGAAGAUUGGUUGCUCCCUAGCCAAACCUUCCAGAAGCUCAGUGCCUGGUUUGUGUUUGUGUGCAGGGCUCUGGGCAGUAGCUGCAUUCUCAGGCCCCUGGCCCGUGGGGCAGAGGGUAUAGAAGACCCUUAGAGUCCUUGGUGAUCUUCCCAUCUUAUACUGAAGGGUAUGCACAAGAGCUUCACUCACUCAUUCAACAAAUAUUUAUUGAGUGUUUACUAUGUUCUAGCCAGUGGGAUCCAGGCCAUCAGCAAGUUCCGUGGCUUCUACCUCCCAAAAUAUCCCAAAUCUAUUCACUCUUCACAUCCCCACUGCCAACAACAGAAUCCAAGCCACCAUCAUCUGGUGGCUGGAUUCUCCUAAUUUAAUCUCUAGGCUCCUACUUCUACCUUCCCACCCCAAUCCAUUCUCCCCAGAGCCCACUGAGCCAUCUUUGCAACAUGUAAAUUAGAAUACCUCUUCUUAAGCCCUCCAAUGGCUUCCCACUGUUAUUAGCACCAUGACCUUCCAGGCCCUUCAUGAUCUGGCCUUUAUCAGCCUCUUAAGU